rnacentral:rRNA from 1 species
AGAGUUUGAUCCUGGCUCAGAUUGAACGCUGGCGGCAUGCCUAACACAUGCAAGUCGAACGGUAACGCGGAGAGCUUGCUCUCUGGCGACGAGUGGCGGACGGGUGAGUAACGCGUAGAAAUCUGCCUAGUAGUGGGGGACAACCUGGAGAAAUCCAGGCUAAUACCGCAUACGCCCUACGGGGGAAAGCGGGGGAUCUUCGGACCUCGCGCUAUUAGAUGAGUCUGCGUCGGAUUAGCUAGUUGGUGAGGUAAAGGCUCACCAAGGCGACGAUCCGUAGCUGGUCUGAGAGGAUGAUCAGCCACACCGGGACUGAGACACGGCCCGGACUCCUACGGGAGGCAGCAGUGGGGAAUAUUGGACAAUGGGGGAAACCCUGAUCCAGCAAUGCCGCGUGUGUGACGAAGGCCUGCGGGUUGUAAAGCACUUUCAAUUGGGAAGAAAAGCAGUCGGUUAAUAACCGGCUGUCUUGACGUUACCUUUACAAGAAGCACCGGCUAACUCCGUGCCAGCAGCCCGGUAAUACGGAGGGUGCAAGCGUUAAUCGGAAUUACUGGGCGUAAAGCGCGCGUAGGCGGCUUUGUAAGUCAAAUGUGAAAGCCCCGGGCUUAACCUGGGAAUUGCAUUCGAUACUGCACGGCUAGAGUAUGGGAGAGGGAAGUGGAAUUUCCGGUGUAGCGGUGAAAUGCGUAGAUAUCGGAAGGAACACCAGUGGCGAAGGCGACUUCCUGGCCCAAUACUGACGCUCAGGUGCGAAAGCGUGGGGAGCAAACAGGAUUAGAUACCCUGGUAGUCCACGCCGUAAACGAUGAGAACUAGAUGUCGGGAGGGUUCAGCUUCUCGGUGUCGCAGCUAACGCAUUAAGUUCUCCGCCUGGGGAGUACGCCGGCAACGGUAAAACUCAAAGGAAUUGACGGGGACCCGCACAAGCGGUGGAGCAUGUGGUUUAAUUCGAUGCAACGCGAAGAACCUUACCUGCCCUUGACAUACUCGGAACUUUCCAGAGAUGGAUUGGUGCCUUCGGGAACCGAGAUACAGGUGCUGCAUGGCUGUCGUCAGCUCGUGUCGUGAGAUGUUGGGUUAAGUCCCGCAACGAGCGCAACCCUUCUCCCUAGUUGCCAGCGGUUCGGCCGGGAACUCUAGGGAGACCGCCAGCGACAAGCUGGAGGAAGGUGGGGACGACGUCAAGUCAUCAUGGCCCUUGUGGGCAGGGCUACACACGUGCUACAAUGGCCGGUACAGACGGUCGCUAACCCGCAAGGGGGAGCCAAUCCGAGAAAGCCGGUCGUAGUCCGGAUCGGGGUCUGCAACUCGACCCCGUGAAGUCGGAAUCGCUAGUAAUCGCGAAUCAGCAACGUCGCGGUGAAUACGUUCCCGGGUCUUGUACACACCGCCCGUCACACCAUGGAAGUUGGUUGCACCAGAAGUAGGUAGCCUAACCUUAGGGAGGGCGCUUACCACGGUGUGGCUAAUGACUGGGGUGAAGUCGUAACAAGGUA